AGUCCUGCAGCUGUGAUACCUCUCCAUCCCAUGGCAGGUCCAAGCUGAGAUGUGUUUGUAGGUGGGCAAAAGGGCUGACACUUUCUAUGCACGAAAUCUAAGUAAAUACACUCUCCCUUUUUCAGUGUGAGAGGUUUCAGGGCCCCCCUGAUGUAGCUCCUCUGCUAUGCAGUAUCAGGAAGAUGUUUAUCUAUGAUGGUUUCGGGACAUGUGCAAAUGGAGCAUUCAGCUCCAAGUUUCAAGCCUGAGCAGGACUGGAAGCCGUAUGUGGUCCUGAACUGUGGGGCAAAGAAGUCUGAGCUCCACUUUUGUUCAUCACUAAACAGCAGCCUGAGAGGAAGCUGGGUAGGGCUGGAUUCCUCAAAGAUGAGUGACUUUCAUGUUGUACAUAAUACACAUUUUCAACAGAAAUGCCCUUGGGGUUGGACUGGUGCCACCUUCCAUGAAAAGCUCCUGGAAAACUCACUGUGGCUCAGCAGGGAAAGACCAAAUCCCCCUGAUGUCGAGGCAAAAGGGAGAACACUCGUGGCAGUUGUUGCUUGUUUCAGGCCUUAUGUCCCAGAACUCGACCUGUAACUUCAGCAAAAAACAUGAAGAAAACUCCUGUGAAAUUUCAGUGAUACAACUGUCGCAUUAACUGUGUACACGUUUCUAUUUUGGGAAGAAAAGCUUAUUGUAUUUUGAUUAAUUGUCUUUGACAGACUAAUCUAGGAGCAUGAAUAGAUUCUAUUAUAGACUAUUAACUCUGUAACAGUCCUGGGGUUGGGAGUGCUUCCAGGAGGCAGGUCUCCUUUUGAUCCUACCAGACCUUAAUGAUACUGUUUGUUAUUAACAUUAGCAGUGGCAUUUUUAAAAAUUCAAUAUUAAUUGAAUCUUUAUUUCUUCAUUAUUUCCUAUAUACUGUGCUUUUCCAUGGGAAACUUAACUCAUGCCAACAAAUGCCUAGGGAAAUAUCUUCACCUUGUAAGCUGUAAAAUACGUUCUAUCAUCCAGUUAAUUUAUGGUAGCAAUUUGGAAGUUUGCUGAGCUGGCCACAGCUAGCUGUCAAUGGAUAAAUUGUUGUUAAAUAUCAGCAACAUAUGACAGCAAUAUCAAAUUAAUUUUUUGAUACAAAAAUGCAUGCAAAUUGCAAUAACCUAUAAUAAAGAAAUGAAAGGAAGUGGUGCUCUAUAUAUU
rnacentral:lncRNA from 1 species